UCCAGACAAAGAGAUUCCAAAACCUCUCUUGGCAAUCUGUUCCAGUGCCCAAUCACCCUUACAGCUAAUAAGUUCUUCCUCACAUUCAGACGGGGUGCCACAGACCAGGACUUCAGGAUGCAGACAGAGACUUGAAGGCAAAGACCAAAUAUUCCCAUUUGCACUGGAUGGAGGAAUUGGGGUUAAUCUUCCCAAGCCUGGAUGAGACUGCAUUGCUGAUGUCUGUGUUUGAACCAAUUGCUGAGCUUCCUUGAUCACCGACGG